rnacentral:rRNA from 1 species
GACGAACGCUGGCGGCGUGCUUAACACAUGCAAGUCGAACGGAAAGGCUCCAGCUUGCUGGAGUUCUCGAGUGGCGAACGGGUGAGUAACACGUGGGUGAUCUGCCCUGCACUUCGGGAUAAGCCUGGGAAACUGGGUCUAAUACCGGAUAGGACCGCACUUUGGUGUGUGUGGUGGAAAGGUUUUUCUGGUGUGGGAUGAGCUCGCGGCCUAUCAGUUUGUUGGUGGGGUAAUGGCCUACCAAGACGGCGACGGGUAGCCGGCCUGAGAGGGUGGACGGUCACAUUGGGACUGAGGUACGGCCCAGACGCCGACGGGAGGCAGCAGGGGGGAAUAUUGCACAAUGGGGGAAACCCUGAUGCAGCGACGCCGCGGGGGGGAUGAAGGCCUUCGGGUUGUAAACUCCUUUCGCUAGGGACGAAGCUUUUUGUGACGGUACCUGGAGAAGAAGCACCGGCUAACUACGUG